rnacentral:misc_RNA from 1 species
AACUGAUACUACCUGCGGGAACCUGCGGAAGGAUCAUUACUGAAGUGAUUUGGGGAUGUUGCUGGCCCUCUCUCAAGGGAGGGCACUGUGCACUCCUCGAAACAAUUCACAAUUUCCAUCACACCCCUUGUGCACACCUUGUAGGCACCCAAACCCACCUCCGGGUGGUGGGGUCCUAUGUAUUCCUUCAUCUCACACUCUGUUGAAUGGUGCCAUGGGACGCAUCUAAAGGAUUAUUUG